rnacentral:rRNA from 1 species
UACGUAGGGGGCAAGCGUUGUUCGGAAUUACUGGGCGUAAAGGGCGCGUAGGCGGCACGGCAAGUCAGGAGUGAAAGGCCUGGGCUCAACCGAGGAACUGCUUUUGAGACUGCCGAGCUAGAGUGCAGAAGGGGCAACUGGAAUUCCCAGUGUAGCGGUGAAAUGCGUAGAUAUUGGGAAGAACACCUGAGGCGAAGGCGGGUUGCUGGGCUGACACUGACGCUGAUGCGCGAAAGCCAGGGGAGCGAACGGG